rnacentral:lncRNA from 1 species
ACACCAAGCCUUCAUUAACAAUUUUCAAACCUCACUUCUUCUCGCUCAAGAACGAAACUGAAACAAACAAAGGUGAAGAAAAAAAGGCUCAAAAAUCACUUCAAUCUUCGAAAUCAACAUCCAUCAUUCAAUUCAAUUCAUCUGGCGCACGCGGAAUCAAAAAGAAAUGAAAACGAAUUUGAAGCAAGAACUCAAUGAAUCAGAGUUUCGACAUGAACAGG